rnacentral:misc_RNA from 1 species
UACGGAGGGGACUAGCGUUGUUCGGAAUUACUGGGCGUAAAGCGCGCGUAGGCGGAUUGGAAAGUUGGGGGUGAAAUCCCGGGGCUCAACCCCGGAACUGCCUCCAAAACUACCAGUCUAGAGGUCGAGAGAGGUGAGUGGAAUUCCGAGUGUAGAGGUGAAAUUCGUAGAUAUUCGGAGGAACACCAGUGGCGAAGGCGGCUCACUGGCUCGAUGCUGACGCUGAGGUGCGAAAGCGUAGGUAGCGAACAGG